UUAAGUUCAGCGGGUAUCCCCACCUGAUCCGAGGUCAACCUGUAAUAUGAGAGGUUUAACGGCGUCGGGCCUUCAAAUCUGCCUAGCGAAAAGUUUCCACAACGCUGAGAGUCUGAAGAGCUCGGCCGAAGUCUUUGAGGUGCGCGGGGGCAGGGCCGCCCGCGGCACCCAAUACCAAGCGGGGCUUGAGUGGUGAAAUGACGCUCGAACAGGUGUGCCCUAAGGAUUACCAAAGGGCGCAAUGUGCGUUCAAAGAUUCGAUGAUUCACUGAAUUCUGCAAUUCACAUUACUUAUCGCAUUUCGCUGCGUUCUUCAUCGAUGCCAGAACCAAGAGAUCCGUUGUUGAAAGUUUUAAUUUAAUUUGAUAAUUACUCAGACGCAAAUGAUGCAGAGUUUAGUGGUUCUCCGGGGGCGUCGGCGGCGCAGGGCAGCGUCACCCCCCGAAGCAACAAGGUGAGAAAACAUGGGGUUGGAGGUCGGGCCGGAGCCCUUCACUCGGUAAUGAUCCCU
rnacentral:misc_RNA from 1 species